UGGGCAUGUCUGUAAAGGGGAGACUCUGGGGUUGUGGACGAACAAGUGAGAUGAGCAGCAGAUGUUGUGGACAAAUAAAGUCUUCCCGGUCUCAACCACAAUCA